rnacentral:miRNA from 1 species
AGGUAGGAGGAUGGCUUGAGCCUGGGAGGUGGAGGUUGCAGUGAGCUGAGAUCAGGCCAUUGCACUCCAGCCUGGGCGACAGAGCCAGACCUUGUCUC